rnacentral:rRNA from 1 species
AUUGAACGCUGGCGGCAUGCUUUACACAUGCAAGUCGAACGGCAGCACGGGGGCAACCCUGGUGGCGAGUGGCGAACGGGUGAGUAAUAUAUCGGAACAUGUCCGGAAGUGGGGGAUAACGUAGCGAAAGUUACGCUAAUACCGCAUAUGCCCUGAGGGGGAAAGGAGGGGAUCGCAAGACCUUUCGCUUUCGGAGUGGCCGAUAUCGGAUUAGCUAGUUGGUGGGGUAAAGGCCUACCAAGGCGACGAUCCGUAGCUGGUCUGAGAGGACGACCAGCCACACUGGGACUGGGACACGGCCCAGACUCCUACGGGAGGCAGCAGUGGGGAAUUUUGAACAAUGGGCGCAAGCCUGAUCCAGCCAUGCCGCGUGAGUGAAGAAGGCCUUCGGGUUGUAAAGCUCUUUCGGACGGAAAGAAAUCCUAUCCGCUAAUACCGGGUGGGGAUGACGGUACCGUAAGAAGAAGCACCGGCUAACUACGUGCCAGCCGCCGCAGUAA